rnacentral:rRNA from 1 species
AUUGAACGCUGGCGGCAUGCUUUACACAUGCAAGUCGAACGGUAACAGGCCGCAAGGUGCUGACGAGUGGCGAACGGGUGAGUAAUGCAUCGGAGCGUGCCCAGUCGUGGGGGAUAACGCAGCGAAAGCUGCGCUAAUACCGCAUACGAUCUAUGGAUGAAAGCGGGGGACCGUACGGCCUCGCGCGAUUGGAGCGGCCGACGUCCGAUUAGGUAGUUGGUGGGGUAAAGGCUCACCAAGCCAACGAUCUGUAGAUGGUUUGAGAGGACGACCAGCCACACGGGGACUGAGACACGGCCCAGACUCCUACGGGAGGCAGCAGUGGGGAAUUUUGGACAAUGGGCGCAAGCCUGAUCCAGCAAUGCCGCGUGCAGGAAGAAGGCCUUCGGGUUGUAAACUGCUUUUGUACGGAACGAAACGGUCCUGGUUAAUACCCGGGGCUAAUGACGGUACCGUAAGAAUAAGCACCGGCUAACUACGUGCCAGCCGCCGCCGUAACAC